UACGUAGGGCGCAAGCGUUAUCCGGAAUUAUUGGGCGUAAAGAGCUCGUAGGCGGUUUGUCGCGUCUGCCGUGAAAGUCCGGGGCUCAACUCCGGAUCUGCGGUGGGUACGGGCAGACUAGAGUGUGGUAGGGGAGACUGGAAUUCCUGGUGUAGCGGUGAAAUGCGCAGAUAUCAGGAGGAACACCGGUGGCGAAGGCGGGUCUCUGGGCCAUAACUGACGCUGAGGAGCGAAAGCGUGGGGAGCAAACAGG
rnacentral:rRNA from 1 species